GAGGGCAUAGUUUAGAGGUAGAGUGCAUGCCUAGCAUGCAUGAGAUCCUGGGUUCUAUCCCCAGUACCUCCA
rnacentral:tRNA from 1 species